rnacentral:misc_RNA from 1 species
GAUGAAUAACGUAGCGAAAUGCGAUAAGUAAUGUGAAUUGCAGAAUUCAGUGAAUCAUCGAAUCUUUGAACGCACAUUGCGCCCCUUGGUAUUCCGAGGGGCAUGCCUGUUCGAGCGUCAUUAUAACCCCUCAAGCUCAGCUUGGUGUUGGGGCCUGCUGCACUGGCAGCCCUUAAAAUCAGUGGCGGCGCCAUCUGGCUCUAAGCGUAGUAAUUCUUCUCGCUAUGGAGUCCUGGUGGAUGCUUGCCAUCAACCCCCAAUUUUUCUAUGGUUGACCUCGGAUCAGGUAGGGAUACCCGCUGAGCUUAAGCAUAUCAAUAAGCGGAGGA